GGGUUGUGAGGUUAAGCGACUAAGCGUACACGGUGGAUGCCCUGGCAGUCAGAGGCGAUGAAGGACGUGCUAAUCUGCGAAAAGCGCCGGCGAGGUGAUAUGAACCUUUGACCCGGCGAUGUCCGAAUGGGGAAACCCAGUGUGUUUCGACACACUAUCGUUAACUGAAUACAUAGGUUAACGAGGCGAACCGGGGGAACUGAAACAUCUAAGUACCCCGAGGAAAAGAAAUCAACCGAGAUUCCCCCAGUAGCGGCGAGCGAACGGGGAGCAGCCCGGAGUCUGAAUCAG
rnacentral:rRNA from 1 species